rnacentral:rRNA from 1 species
GACAGAGGUGCCAAGCGUUAGGCGGAAUCACUGGGCUUAAAGCGUGUGUAGGCGGAUCGUUAAGUACCUUGUGAAAUCCCACGGCUCAACCGUGGAACUGCCUCGGAUACUGGCGGCCUCGAGGGAGGUAGGGGCGUGCGGAACUGUGGGUGGAGCGGUGAAAUGCGUUGAUAUCCACAGGAACUCCGGUGGCGAAGGCGGCACGCUGGACCUCUUCUGACGCUGAGGCGCGAAAGCCAGGGGAGCAAACGGG